rnacentral:rRNA from 1 species
AUUCCUACGGGAGGCAGCAGUCGGGAAUAUUGCCCAAUGGUCGCAAGACUGAGGCAGCAACGCCGCGUGCGCGAUGAAGGCCUUCGGGUCGUAAAGCGCUUUUCAGUGGGAUGAGGAAGGACAGUACCACUGGAAUAAGGUACGGCUAACUACGUGCCAGCAGCCGCGGUAAAACGUAGGUACCGAGCGUUAUCCGGAUUUACUGGGCGUAAAGCGUGUUCAGGCGGUCUAGCAAGUCGGGCAUGAAAUCUCUGGGCUCAACCCGGAGGGGUUGUCCGAAACUGCUGGGCUUGAGGGCAGCAGAGGGUGGUGGAAUUCCGGGUGUAGUGGUGAAAUGCGUAGAUAUCCGGAGGAACACCAGUGGCGAAGGCGGCCACCUGGGCUGUACCUGACGCUCAAACACGAAAGCUAGGGGAGCGAACGGGAUUAGAAACCCCGGUAGUCCUAGCCGUAAACGAUGUUGACUAGGUGUCGACGGUCUAAACCCCGCCGGUGCCGGAGCUAACGCACGAAGUCAACCGCCUGGGGACUACGGCCGCAAGGUUAAAACUCAAAGGAAUUGACGGGGACCCGCACAAGCAGCGGAGCGUGUGGUUUAAUUCGAGGCUACGCGCAGAACCUUACCAGGGAUUGACAUGGCGGUGGUAGUGAAGCGAAAGCGGAACGACCCUUCGGGGAGCCGUCACAGGUGAUGCAUGGCUGUCGUCAGCUCGUGCCGUGAGGUGUUUGGUUAAGUCCACUAACGAGCGCAACCCUUAGCCUCAGUUAUACGUGUCUGAGGCGACUGCCGGUAUUAAGCCGGAGGAAGGUGGGGAUGACGUCAAGUCCGCAUGUCCUUUAUAUCCUGGGCUACACACACGCUACAAUGGCCAGUACAAUGGGUCGCCAAGCCGCGAGGCGGAGCCAAUCCUAAAAAGCUGGUCUCAGUUCGGAUUGCAGGCUGCAACCCGCCUGCAUGAAGUCGGAGUUGCUAGUAACCGCAGGACAGCUAUACUGCGGUGAAUACGUUCCCGGGCCUUGUACACACCGCCAUCCAUA